CUUCUGCAGCCUCAUCUCUGCCAUUCUUCACCUUCUGUGCUCCAACCCAAUCUGGUUUUCUUCUCAUGCUUUGAACACCCCAAGUCUGUCUGCUUCAGGAGCUUCGUACUGGCUAAUCAUUCACCAUAGCAUACUCCCAUCUAUACGGCUGGCUCUUAUAUUAUGGGUCUCAGCUAAAAUGUCAUCCCUUUAAAGAGACCUUCUUGGACCACCCCAGCCAUUCUCUAUCCUAUUUCUCUCUUUUAUUUUCUUUGAAGCACUUACCCACUUUCAGAAACUAUCUGGCUUGCUCAUGUGUUUGUCUCUAGAUUGUCUACUUCCCCUGCUAGACUAUACUCUCCACAAGAGAGCAAAGCUGUGUCUGUUGCAUUCACUGUUGUCUUCCCAGAAGCAAACAGCAUGCUGGAGACCCUCAAAUACAUGUGAAAUGAAGGGACACCUUGUGUUAUUUCACCUGUUUCCACCUGGUUCCCAAGUGGCAAGCUUGCAUUGAGGUUACAAAGUGGCAAAGCUGGGAUAUCACAUGAUGUCACCAUGAUGCUAUAUGAAAUGUAACAUUAAUUGAGUACCUAUGUGACCAGUUCUUUAAUUCUGUAAGUGAACUCUCAAAAAACCCUAGGUAAGUAUUAUCAACUCGAACUUUAACAGAUGAGGAAACUGGAAUUUUUUUAAAAAUGACUUAACCAAACAUCACAGAGCUGUAAACCAGGAUUUGAAUGGGUGAGCUGCACUCAGCCUGCAUCUCAAGUCAGUUUGCCUCUUACUCCAAGAAGCCACAGUUGAUCCUGACCACAUCACAUAUGAGUUGCCUGGAUUGCAGUCAUUCAUUCACUAAGCAUCUUUUAGGAGGUCACAUGCCAGGCACCGUGUUAGGUAAUGAUUUCUCCAAGUCACAGGAGCCGUGGUUCUGACUUUAGAAAGUUUCUCAUCUGAUGGGAGGGCAGGCAAGUAAAUCAGUAAGGGUGGUCCCUGUCGGGACACUGGUUGAGAAAUACCCAGGGACACUCUGGUUGUGAAAUACCCAAAGUGCAAAGUGACAGGGACUAGAGGCAUCUCCACUGGACCAGAGAGCUCUGGAUUCAUCUUGAGCUAAGUCUCUGGAGGUAGGUGUCAGCUACAAGGAGAAAAGCUGUAUAUUUUGAGAUAUGGGAUGCAGGGCCUUUUAGUUCCAUAAAUAAGAGAACUAUGGUGUGAAUACCACAUGCCCUGGGCUGAACUAAGUGGGCUCUAGGGGAAGGUAUACUGGGCAGGGAGUUUGGAGAACUGGUUUCUGUCUAAUCCUUCUCUAACUCUGUGACCUUGAAUGCAUCAUUUCCCCUCUGAGUCUCAGAUUCCCUUUCUGGCUGGCAUUUAACGAAACCUAAAUAUUCUAGACCUUCUACUUGUUCCAUAAGUGCUCAGUCCUACACUCACUGUCCUCUGGCACCAAUAUACUGAUUACUCAUUUUAUGCCCAGCAGAGCACUGUGUGUUUUGAAAUAUACAAAUAGUGGGAAAUGAAAUCUUUGUUCUGGAUGCAGUUAUAAUUUGGAAAGCGAGGAAAUAAAUUAUAACAAGGGGAAAAAACAGACACAGAGGGAUUGAAAUGCAUAACAAUAGAGAUGAAACAUGAAGAGUGAUAAAUGAAGAUUGAGUGUGCACACCUUCUGGAGGAGCCCUGAUUGAGUAUUUUAACACAGAAGUGGGUGAGAGCAAAGUUGUAUCAGAGUAGGACAAUGACACCAAGCCAGAUGGUUAUCAAAAUCCACAGGAACAAAUGAAGAGAACCAGAAAUUGCAAAUAAGAAGGACAGAGUACCAGAGAGGAGAGAGAUGUACAGAGAAUUAUGGAGGUGGCUUCCCUUGAGUAUGCAGCUAAGUAAUGAUUAAUGCAUACAUAUAAGAAACUACUGGAUGACAGAGAAAGAACCACAAGCAAUUUAAAGAAUACUACUAAAGUCAUGCCGUGUGACUUCUGAAGCUAGCUCCUAAGAAGUCCUUGCAGCUUCUGCCUGCGACUCUUAGAACACUUGCUUUGAAGGAUGCCAGACGCUGUGUUAAAAGUCUGAGCACUCUGAAACCACCAUGCUGUGAGGAAGCCCAAGCUAACCACAUGGGCAAAAAAGAUGCCCUCUGACUGCCACCAUUUGAGACACUCUAAUUAAGAACUGCCUCAUUGAGCCCAUGAGGCCCUGUGAAUGAUAGUAAUAAAUUGUUUUUAACCAC
rnacentral:lncRNA from 1 species